rnacentral:rRNA from 1 species
CUACGGGAGGCUCCAGUGGGGAAUCUUAGACAAUGGGGGAAACCCUGAUCUAGCCAUGCCGCGUGAGCGACGACGGCCCUAGGGUUGUAAAGCUCUUUCAGCAGGGAAGAUAAUGACGGUACCUGCAGAAGAAGUCCCGGCUAACUCCGUGCCAGCAGCCGCGGUAAUACGGAGGGGACUAGCGUUGUUCGGAAUUACUGGGCGUAAAGGGCGCGUAGGCGGAUUGUUAAGUCGGGGGUGAAAUCCCGGGGCUCAACCCCGGAACUGCCCUCGAUACUGGCAGUCUUGAGGUCGAGAGAGGUGAGUGGAAUUCCGAGUGUAGAGGUGAAAUUCGUAGAUAUUCGGGGGAACACCAGUGGCGAAGGCGGCUCACUGGCUCGAUACUGACGCUGAGGUGCGAAAGCGUGGGGAGCAAACAGGAUUAGAUACCCUUGUAGUC